UCCUACGGGAGGCAGCAGUGGGGAAUAUUGGACAAUGGGGGCAACCCUGAUCCAGCCAUGCCGCGUGUGUGAAGAAGGUCUUCGGAUUGUAAAGCACUUUAAGUUGGGAGGAAGGGCAGUAAGUUAAUACCUUGCUGUUUUGACGUUACCGACAGAAUAAGCACCGGCUAACUCUGUGCCAGCAGCCGCGGUAAUA
rnacentral:rRNA from 1 species